rnacentral:rRNA from 1 species
CAGGAUAAACGCUGGCGGCGCACAUAAGACAUGCAAGUCGAACGGACGACUAUGAUCUUACGAUUGAUAGAAGUUAGUGGCGGACUGGUGAGUAACGCGUGAGCAACCUACCUAUAAGAGGGGAAUAACAGGGAGAAAUCUUUGCUAAUACCGCAUAAGCUGAUAGGAUCGCAUGAUCUAGUCAGAAAAGGAGCAAUCCGCUAAUAGAUGGGCUCGCGUCCGAUUAGAUAGUUGGUGGGGUAACGGCCUACCAAGUCGACGAUCGGUAGCCGGACUGAGAGGUUGAACGGCCACAUUGGGACUGAGAUACGGCCCAGACUCCUACGGGAGGCAGCAGUCGGGAAUAUUGCGCAAUGGAGGAAACUCCUGACGCAGUGACGCCGCGUAUAGGAAGAAGUUUUUCGGAAUGUAAACUAUUGUCAUUAGGGAAGAGAAAGGACGGUACCUAAGGAGGAAGCCCCGGCUAACUAUGUGCCAGCAGCGGC